UGCUGGAGGUAUCAGAAGUGCGAAUGCUGACAUGAGUAACGAUAAUGCGGGUGAAAAACCCGCACGCCGGAAGACCAAGGGUUCCUAUCCCAUGUUAAUCAGGGUAGGGUAAGUCGACCCCUAAGGCGAGGCCGAAAGGCGUAGUCGAUGGGAAACGGAUUAAUAUUUCCGUACUUGGUAUAAUUGCGAUGGGGGGACGGAGAAGGCUAAGCAAGCAUGGCGAUGGUUGUCCAUGUGAAAGUGAGUAGGGCGUUUGUUUAGGUAAAUCCGGACGAACAUUAAACCUGAGACACGAGACGAGUCACCAAGGUGAUGAAGUUGUUGAUGCCAUACUUCCAGGAAAAGCCUCUAAGCUUCAGAUUAUACCGAAUCGUACCCCAAACCGACACAGGUGGUCAGGUAGAGAAUACUAAGGCGCUUGAGAGAACUCGGGUGAAGGAACUAGGCAAAAUCGUACCGUAACUUCGGGAGAAGGUACGCUCCUAUCUGUGAUGAGACUUGCUCUCUAAGCGGACGGGAGCCGCAGUGACCAGGUGGCUGGGACUGUUUAUUAAAAACACAGCACUGUGCAAAAUCGCAAGAUGACGUAUACGGUGUGACACCUGCCCGGUGCCGGAAGGUUAAUUGAUGGGGUUAUCCUUAGGGAGAAGCUCUUGAUCGAAGCCCCGGUAAACGGCGGCCGUAACUAUAACGGUCCUAAGGUAGCGAAAUUCCUUGUCGGGUAAGUUCCGACCUGCACGAAUGGUGUAACCAUGGCCACGCUGUCUCCACCCGAGACUCAGUGAAAUUGAAAUCGCAGUGAAGAUGCUGUGUACCCGCGGCUAGACGGAAAGACCCCGUGAACCUUUACUACAGCUUGGCACUGAACAUUGAACCUACAUGUGUAGGAUAGGUGGGAGACUUUGAAGCAGAGACGCUAGUUUUUGUGGAGUCGUCCUUGAAAUACCACCCUUGUAGUUUUGAUGUUCUAACGUUGGCCCCUGAAUCGGGGUUACGGACAGUGCCUGGUGGGUAGUUUGACUGGGGCGGUCUCCUCCCAAAGAGUAACGGAGGAGCACGAAGGUUGGCUAAGUACGGUCGGACAUCGUACGGUUAGUGUAAUGGUAGAAGCCAGCUUAACUGCGAGACAGACACGUCGAGCAGGUACGAAAGUAGGUCAUAGUGAUCCGGUGGUUCUGAAUGGAAGGGCCAUCGCUCAACGGAUAAAAGGUACUCCGGGGAUAACAGGCUGAUACCGCCCAAGAGUUCAUAUCGACGGCGGUGUUUGGCACCUCGAUGUCGGCUCAUCACAUCCUGGGGCUGAAGUCGGUCCCAAGGGUAUGGCUGUUCGCCAUUUAAAGUGGUACGCGAGCUGGGUUUAGAACGUCGUGAGACAGUUCGGUCCCUAUCUGCCGUGGGCGUUUGAGAAUUGAGAGGGGUUGCUCCUAGUACGAGAGGACCGGAGUGAACGAACCGCUGGUGUUCGGGUUGUCAUGCCAAUGGCAUUGCCCGGUAGCUACGUUCGGAACUGAUAAGCGCUGAAAGCAUCUAAGCGCGAAGCAGGCCUCGAGAUGAUUUCUCACUAGACUUUUAAAGUCUCUGAAGGGCCGUUGAAGACUACAACGUUGAUAGGCAAGAUGUGGAAGUGGUGUGAGCCAUUAAGCUAACUUGUACUAAUUACCCGUGAGGCUUAACCAU
rnacentral:rRNA from 1 species